AAAUUGAAGAGUUUGAUCAUGGCUCAGAUUGAACGCUGGCGGCAGGCCUAACACAUGCAAGUCGAACGGUAACAGGAAGCAGCUUGCUGCUUCGCUGACGAGUGGCGGACGGGUGAGUAAUGUCUGGGAAACUGCCUGAUGGAGGGGGAUAACUACUGGAAACGGUGGCUAAUACCGCAUAACGUCGCAAGACCAAAGAGGGGGACCUUCGGGCCUCUUGCCAUCAGAUGUGCCCAGAUGGGAUUAGCUAGUUGGUGAGGUAACGGCUCACCAAGGCGACGAUCCCUAGCUGGUCUGAGAGGAUGACCAGCCACACUGGAACUGAGACACGGUCCAGACUCCUACGGGAGGCAGCAGUGGGGAAUAUUGCACAAUGGGCGCAAGCCUGAUGCAGCCAUGCCGCGUGUAUGAAGAAGGCCUUCGGGUUGUAAAGUACUUUCAGCGGGGAGGAAGGUGUUGUGGUUAAUAACCGCAGCAAUUGACGUUACCCGCAGAAGAAGCACCGGCUAACUCCGUGCCAGCAGCCGCGGUAAUACGGAGGGUGCAAGCGUUAAUCGGAAUUACUGGGCGUAAAGCGCACGCAGGCGGUCUGUCAAGUCGGAUGUGAAAUCCCCGGGCUCAACCUGGGAACUGCAUUCGAAACUGGCAGGCUUGAGUCUUGUAGAGGGGGGUAGAAUUCCAGGUGUAGCGGUGAAAUGCGUAGAGAUCUGGAGGAAU
rnacentral:rRNA from 1 species